AUUGAACGCUGGCGGAAUGCUUUACACAUGCAAGUCGAACGGCAGCACGGACUUCGGUCUGGUGGCGAGUGGCGAACGGGUGAGUAAUAUAUCGGAACGUGCCCAGUCGUGGGGGAUAACGUAGUGAAAAUUACGCUAAUACCGCAUACGAUCUAUGGUUGAAAGCGGGGGAUCGCAAGACCUCGCGCGAUUGGAGCGGCCGAUAUCAGAUUAGGUAGUUGGUGAGGUAAAGGCUCACCAAGCCGACGAUCUGUAGCUGGUCUGAGAGGACGACCAGCCACACUGGAACGGAGACACGGUCCAGACUCCUACGGGUGGCAGCAGUGGGGAAUUUUGGACAAUGGACGCAAGUCUGAUCCAGCCAUUCCGCGUGCAGGACGAAGGCCUUCGGGUUGUAAACUGCUUUUGUACAGAACGAAAAGGUCUCUAUUAAUACUAGGGGCUCAUGACGGUACUGUAAGAAUAAGCACCGGCUAACUACGUGCCAGCAGCCGCAGUAACAC
rnacentral:rRNA from 1 species